rnacentral:rRNA from 1 species
UACGUAGGGGGCAAGCGUUGUCCGGAAUCAUUGGGCGUAAAGCGCGUGUAGGCGGUUCGGUAAGUCCGCUGUGAAAGUCCAGGGCUCAACCUGGGAAGUGCACUCGAAACUGCUAGGCUUGAGUAUGGAAGAGGGUCUCGGAAUUCCCGGUGUAGAGGUGAAAUUCGUAGAUAUCGGGAGGAACACCAAUGGCGAAAGCACUCUGCUGGGCCGACACUGACACUGAGAGACGAAAGCUAGGGGAGCAAAUGGG